UAAGACCAUGAUGGGAACAUCCACUGAAACAGCUUACCUGAGAACUGGAGUCUGCAGAGACAAAAGAGAUCUCCGAGCUUCAGCGUGGAUCUAAGAGGAUGCGUCCCUGUCUGUCUGUGCGUGUGGGUCGUACUCAAGGGUGACUUCGUCAUUAGGGCCUCAAGACGGCUGUGUUACAGCUUUUCUGAUUCAUAUAGUCCUCUUCUCUUCUGACUGCCUUUGCGCAUGGCCUACUUCGGAAUUUCUGUGAUUUUGCCUAAAGUGCUUCUUUCUGUCCAUUGUAAGAAAUCAGACCGCGCAUCCACAGUUUGUGUGUGUGGAGUUUAACGCCAGCUUCAUUGCACAGGUAUGUCCCUGGCUAACCAAAUAAGGUCUCCCAAGAGGCCAUUCAGGGGCAUUUGCUCUUGGGUCUGGACUUGAUUCGGGGAGGGGCAGAGUGAACCUGCAGUGGGCAAACUGUCGGUCAGAUGUGCAAUCAGCAUCCUUCUCCCUCCGAUAACCGCAGGCGCAGAACUCGGCUGCUCCCUGCUGCUGGGCCCCACACCUGCCCUUCUAUGUGUGAUGGAUGGGCUCUGUGCAAAGAGGAGCCAACACAGCCAGUCUGAACUUCUCCGUGUCGUUUCUAGCUAUCAAUUCAAAAUGACCAACAAACAAAGUCCUGGGGAGAAAGAGAAGGUGUCAGUGUGGUUUCCCAGUUCUCUGGUCUUUACGAACACCCGUGAGACCGUUAUCAGGCGAACAAACAGAGAUGCAGAUUUAUCUGCGGCUAAUCAGGCAGGAGUCAUGAGGUCUUCUCACUGUGUGGAUAGGGAGGUUAGGAGCUAUUGAUUGGGGGAGAUAUUUUUGAAUGAAUUGGGACUGCUGAGCUCUGAGGGAGACUUCUGACAGCUUCUAAGAGUGAUCCCAGGGAACGAGAGUCUUGGGUGUAACCACCUCCAAGACAGCCGGAAGUAAUAUUAAGAAAGCAAUGUCCCCUCUCCCAACCUAGGGAGACCUGUGAUGUGCUUCUCCCCUGGGAUAACACGUCCUCGGGUCUGCCUGAGGGACGCCCUUCUUUGGGAGAGGACACAUGGUCACACAUAGGCCAUCCCAAGAUGACGCCAGCCUCACUGUGAAGUGGAAGCAAGUGCUAACUUCUCGUGUACCAUUUCUGCCUCUGUGGGCCCUUCACCUCAGGGAAUUCCUUACUGGAGACGGUAUGUCCUCCUCACUUGAAGUUCAGAGCUUCUGACCUAAGAUUGAACCUCUUCUGGCCAAACCAAAUCCCUCUCCAUUAUCUCACAAAUUUGGCCUGAGAAAGGGAACAGGCCCAGGAUCCUUCCCUGCCAAAGUCAAGAUCAGAGAGUCUGCUGCUGUCAGUUCCCAGAAACCACAGAGCAGGACUCAGACCUAGAGAAAUGUAUAGUUCACAUGUCCAGAGACCACAGCCUCCUAAACCUCCAAAUGACACAUAAAAGCAUGACCAUAGUCUGUGCCGGGAGGAGCAGGGAGUCAGAAAUGCCAACAGGGGUAAGAAGAGAACAGCACACAGUAGUGUGCCAGCCAGAGGGUGCCCAAGCUAGCAUCACAGGAAAAUUCUGCUUGUUUUCAAACCUUUGCUUCGCAUACACCCCUGCCCAAAGGUAGCAGAAAGCUUAAAUACAUUUUAAAAUGUACUUCCCUAUGUCACAAUAUAGACAGAAGUGUAGCAUGAUGGCCGGCUUGUUGGGGUUUCUGUCCUGCCCGGUACCCCACAACCAGCAAUUCCCAAAGA